GCGGAAGUAGUUCAGUGGUAGAACAUUACCUUGCCAUGGUGGGGGUCGCGGGUUCGAAUCCCGUCUUCCGCU
rnacentral:tRNA from 1 species